rnacentral:rRNA from 1 species
CAUAUUAAUAAGAGUAUACGAAGGAUGGCUUGACAGAACAUGCCGACGAAGGACGUAGUAGCCUGCGAAAAGCUUCGGGGAGGUGGCAAACAACCUUUGAUCCGAAGAUAUCCGAAUGGGGCAACCCAAUGCGGUUCAUACCGCAUUACUUUGCAAUCAAUACAUAGUUGCAAGGAGGGCACCUGGUGAAGUGAAACAUCUCAGUAGCCAGAGGAAAAGAAAAAACAAUUUCGUUUAACGUUUUCAUGCGGCCAGUCGGGUUUACCCGACAGCACGUCGUAUGGAAACGCGAAACGAAUAGAUUCCCUUAGUAGUGGCGAGCGAAAAGGGAACAGCUCAAACCUCUCUCGUGAAGUGUUUGUAAGCAUGGAGUCGCAAGACUGUGUGUGAAUGGAUGCGAAAGAUUGAAGUCGUUGCGAGAGAUAGGUGUUGUAAGACGGUAGUGUCGUUUUCUUCAAAAAACGGAUAAUGAAAUCCAUGUAAUAUAUAGGGGAAGUGACUGGAACGUCACACCAUAGAAGGUGAAAGUCCUGUACGCGAAAUAUAUUACGUCAUUAUGAUUACUGUUCUUGAGUACUACGGGACUCGUGAAAUCCUGUAGGAAUCUGCCGGGACUAUCUGGCAAAGCUAAAUACAUGUUCUGAUCGAUAGUGUACAAGUACCGUGAGGGAAAGCUGAAAAGCACCCCGGAAGGGGAAUGAAAUAGUAUCUGAAAUCGUAUACUUACAAGGAGUCAGCGCCCCUCGAAGCCGCAAGGCGGAGAGUGGGUCAUGGCGUUCCUAUUGAAGAAUGAGCCAACGAGUGUGUUGUGCGUCGCUUGGUUAAGUCCUCCGGGACGAAGCCAUAGUGAAAGCGAGCGUUAAUCCGCGAAAUAUUGGUGGCGCGCACAUAACCCGAAACCGGGUGACCUAUCCAUGACCAGGCUGAAGCGAAUGUAACAGUUCGUGGAGGGCCGAACCCACGUGCCGUGCAAAACACGGGGAUGAGUUGUGGAUAGCGGAGAAAUUCCAAUCGAACUCGGUAAUAGCUGGUUCUCUCCGAGAUAGCUUUUGGGCUAGCGUCGGUAAAUAAUGUGUUGGGGGUAGAGCACUGAAUCGAGUUUGCGCCUUCGGGUAGCGACUCUAAUCAAACUCCGAAUACCAACAUGUGUUCCCGGCAGUCAGACGAUGGGGGCUAAGCUCCAUACGUCGAAAGGGAAACAGCCCAGAUCUCAAGCUAAGGCCCCAAAAUCAUCAUUAAGUGUAAAAGGUGGUGGAAAGACUUAAACAACCAGGAGGU